AAAUUCGUACAAAGCAUUUUUAAUGUACACAGUUCCCAAUGGACCACUGAAGUUGAGAAACGGUGCACGUGGUUAGUAUCCGAAUGGGUGACCAUGGGCAUUCGUGUGAUUAACUCA
rnacentral:rRNA from 1 species